AGUGAGGACGUAGCUUUAAAAGAGUCAGUGAACACAUGAUUGUUGAGCUUGUCGUUUGAGUGAGUGAAUAUGGAGACGGUCGUUGUGUUCCUGACUGUCCUGUUUGUUUCAGGUGUUUCACAUGAUUGUCAGCGCUUCCAUCUCUUCAUCACUGUACCACAGAAGAUACAAGCACUGACAGGAUCAUGUGUGUGGAUUCCCUGCAGCUUCGAAACUCAGAAGAUGUUAAACAGCAGAGAGGAAAAAUCCUGGUUCUGGAUGAUAGAUAAAAAACGAAUCAAAAUACCAGGAAACCUGAAGGAUCCAGCUCAAAGAAAAAUCUCGACCGUGGGAACAGAUCGGCAGAGGAAUCAUUGGGUUCAUGGUUCUCGUUUGCGUCAUCGUCGUCUGUGUUUGGCAUUAUAAGUCGACACGUCCAACUGUCCAACAGACUCAGCAGGGGGCGACAAGAUCGAACUACAUUCAUACGAAGGAAAUGAUGGAGAAAACACAAAUUUACCUGCGAUCAACUGAAGAAAUUAGCAGUCCUCCUCACUCAUGCUGCAGGACAGUGGAGAGCAGCAGGUCAAAGUGUCCACAUCCACUAAAAACCACGAGGACUUCGACACUCAUGUGAAGAAAAAACUAGGGCCAUAUAUUUUUUGUGUGUGAAGUCAAUGCUUACAGUAGUCUAUAAAACGUGCUAAACAUGCUCAUUUUUUGUUUUUGGCAGGGGUGCAAAUUCUGGCAUCAUUUCGCUGUGAUGUGUAUUCAUUUUCUGACCAUUAGCUCAACUGUAAGCCAUAACCAUUUUCUGCAAACUUUUUACAACUUUGGACAGUGCUUAAUAUUUUUUGUAUUCAUGAUAUAAUCAUGACU